AAACUCUGGAGAACUCUUAGAUGAGUGCCGAAGGUGCAAGGCCGCCCGCACAGGCGUGCUGAAUCUCUCAGGCAAAAGGACAGAGGCG
rnacentral:ncRNA from 1 species